GAUGAACGCUGGCGGCGUGCCUAAUACAUGCAAGUCGAGCGAACAGACGAGGAGCUUGCUCCUUCGACGUUAGCGGCGGACGGGUGAGUAACACGUGGAUAACCUACCUAUAAGACUGGGAUAACUUCGGGAAACCGGAGCUAAUACCGGAUAAUAUUUUGAACCGCGGGGUUCGAUAGUGAAAGACGGCUGUGCUGUCACUUAUCGAGGGAUCUGCGCGGUAUUGGCUAGUUGGUAAGUUAACGGCUUACCAAGGCAACGAUGCCUAGCCGACCUGAGGGGGGGAUGGGCGACAGAGGAAGUGAGACACGGCACUGGCUCUGAGGGGAGGCAGCGGCAGGUAAUCUUCGCAACAGGGGGAAAGCUUGCCGGAUAAACGCAGGGUGGGUGCAGAAGGGCUGCGUACGGGAAAACUCUGUUAUUGGGGAAGACCAAUUUUGUAAGUAACGGUGCAUGUCUGACGGUAACCUAUCAAGAAGGCCCGGCUAACUACGUG
rnacentral:rRNA from 1 species